GAUGAACGCUAGCGGCAGGCUUAAUACAUGCAAGUCGAGGGGCAGCAUAAUUGUAGCAAUACAGUUGAUGGCGACCGGCAAACGGGUGCGGAACACGUACAGAACCUUCCUUCGAGCGGGGAAUAGCCCAGAGAAAUCUGGAUUAAUACCCCAUAGUAUUACGGAGUGGCAUCACUUUGUAAUUAAAGAUUUAUCACUUGAAGAUGGCUGUGCGGCUGAUUAGGUAGUUGGCGGGGUAACGGCCCACCAAGCCUGCGACCAGUAACUGGUGUGAGAGCCCGACCAGACACACGGGCACUGAGCAACGGGCCCGACUCCUACGGGAUGCAGCAGUAAAGAAUAUUGGUCAAUUGACGAAAGUCUGAACCAGCCAUGCCGCGUGAAGGAUGAAGGUCCUCUGGAUUGUAAACUUCUUUUAGAUGGGACGAAAAAAGGCUUUUCUAAGUCGUCUGACGGUACCAUAUGAAUAAGCACCGGCUAACUCCGUGCCAGCCGCCGCAGUAACAC
rnacentral:rRNA from 1 species